GACGGAGGAUGCAAGCGUUAUCCGGAAUGAUUGGGCGUAAAGCGUCCGCAGGUGGCAGUUCAAGUCUGCUGUCAAAGACCGGGGCUUAACUUCGGAAAGGCAGUGGAAACUGAACAGCUAGAGUAUGGUAGGGGCAGAGGGAAUUCCUGGUGUAGCGGUGAAAUGCGUAGAGAUCAGGAAGAACAUCGGUGGCGAAGGCACUCUGCUGGACCAUAACUGACACUCAGGGACGAAAGCUAGGGGAGCGAAUGGG
rnacentral:rRNA from 1 species